CGGGGCGUAGCUCAGCUUGGUUAGAGCGCUGCGUUCGGGACGCAGAGGCCGCCAGUUCAAAUCUGGCCGCCCCGACCA
rnacentral:tRNA from 1 species